UGGUUCUGGCAUCGAUGAAGAACGCAGCGAAAUGCGAUAAGUAAUGUGAAUUGCAGAAUUCAGUGAAUCAUCGAAUCUUUGAACGCACAUUGCGCCCUCUGGUAUUCCGGAGGGCAUGCCUGUUCGAGCGUCAUUACAACCCUCAAGCUCUGCUUGGCCUUGGGCGUCACCGGCAACGGUGGGCCUCAAACCCAGUGGCGGUGCCGUCUGGCUCUAAGCGUAGUACUUCUUCUCGCUAUAGGUGCCCGGCGGACGCUGGCCAGCAACCCCCAACUUCUUUCAGGUUGACCUCGGAUCAGGUAGGGAUACCCGCUGA
rnacentral:misc_RNA from 1 species